GAUGAACGCUAGCUACAGGCUUAACACAUGCAAGUCGCGGGGCAGCAUGGGGGUUGCUUGCAAUCCCCGAUGGCGACCGGCGCACGGGUGAGUAACGCGUAUCCAACCUGCCCUUCACCACGGGAUAACCCGGCGAAAGUCGGACUAAUACCGUAUGUUGUCCAUUGACGGCAUCCGCUUUGGACGAAAGGCUUGGCGGUGAGGGAUGGGGAUGCGUCCGAUUAGCCAGACGGCGGGGUAACGGCCCACCGUGGCUACGAUCGGUAGGGGUUCUGAGAGGAAGGUCCCCCACACUGGAACUGAGACACGGUCCAGACUACUACGGGAGGCAGCAGUGAGGAAUAUUGGGCAAUGGGCGUAAGCCUGAACCAGCCAAGUAGCGUGCAGGAUGACGGCCCUAUGGGUUGUAAACUGCUUUUAUGCGGGGAUAAAGUGGCCCACGUGUGGGCUUUUGCAGGUACCGCAUGAAUAAGGACCGGCUAAUUCCGUG
rnacentral:rRNA from 1 species